rfam:Triticum aestivum genome assembly, contig: Triticum_aestivum_CS42_TGACv1_scaffold_645067_T_3DS-0.049697_1BL-0.045235
GUCCCUUCGGGGACAUCAGAUAAAAUUGGAACGAUACAAAGAAGAUUAGCAUGGCCCCUAUACAAGGAUGACACGCACUUCUUAUAUGCUUUUUAUUUUCUU